GAUGAACGCUGGCGGCGUGCCUAAUACAUGCAAGUCGAGCGAACAGAUGAGGGGCUUGCUCCUCUGACGUUAGCGGCGGACGGGUGAGUAACACGUGGAUAACCUACCUAUAAGACUGGGAUAACUUCGGGAAACCGGCGCUAAUACCGGAUAAUAUAUUGAACCGCAUGGUUCAAUAGUUAAAGACGGUUUUGCUGUCACUUAUAGAUGUAUCCGCGCCGCAUUAGCUAGUUGGUAAGGUAACGGCUUACCAAGGCAACGAUGCGUAGCCGACCUGAGAGGGUGAUCGGCCACACUGGAACUGAGACACGGUCCAGACCCCUACGGGAGGCAGCAGUAGGGAAUCUUACGCAAUGGGCGAAAGCCUGACGGAGCACCGCCGCGUGGGUGAUGAAGGUCUUCGGAUCGUAAAACUCUGUUAUUAGGGAAGAACAAAUGUGUAAGUAACUAUGCACGACUUGACGGUACCUAAUCAGAAAGCCACGGCUAACUACGUG
rnacentral:rRNA from 1 species